CACGUAGGGCGCAAGCGUUGUCCGGAAUUAUUGGGCGUAAAGAGCUCGUAGGCGGUCUGUUACGUCUGCUGUGAAAACCCAGGGCUUAACCCUGGGCUUGCAGUGGAUACGGGCAGACUAGAGGCAGGUAGGGGAGAAUGGAAUUCCCGGUGUAGCGGUGAAAUGCGCAGAUAUCAGGAGGAACACCGGUGGCGAAGGCGGGUCUCUGGGCCGAUACUGACGCUGAGGAGCGAAAGCGUGGGGAGCGAACAGG
rnacentral:rRNA from 1 species